rnacentral:tRNA from 1 species
GCCGGGGUAGCUCAAUCGGUAGAGCGUGUGGCUCUUACGCAGCAAAGAAUACCUCAAGGUCGCGGGUUCGAGCCCCGCCUUCGGCU